rnacentral:rRNA from 1 species
GUGCCAGCCGCCGCGGUAAUACGUAGGUGCCAAGCGUUAUCCGGAUUCACUGGGUUUAAAGGGUGCGUAGGUGGGUUGGUAAGUCAGUGGUGAAAUCUCCGGGCUUAACUCGGAAACUGCCAUUGAUACUAUUAAUCUUGAAUACCGUGGAGGUUGGCGGAAUAUGUCGUGUAGCGGUGAAAUGCUUAGAUAUGACAUAGAACACCAAUUGCGAAGGCAGCUGGCUAAACGGAUAUUGACACUGAGGCACGAAAGCGUGGGGAUCAAACAGGAUUAGAUACCCUGGUAGUCCACGCCCUAAACUAUGGAUACUCGACAUUUGCGAUAAACUGUAAGUGUCUGAGCGAAAGCAUUAAGUAUCCCACCUGGGAAGUACGAUCGCAAGAUUGAAACGCAAAGGAAUUGACGG